AGAAGCCACAGUUAAUUCUUCGGAAAAUUCAACAGCUGUGGAACUUCAGAAACAGCACCAUCAAACAGACUAAAUAAGAAGUGUUUAAACUGAAUAAACUGCCAAGAAGGAUAAGACAGCUGUAUGGAAAUGAUUUGCCAUUAUCUUCUCCUGGAAUGUUUUUCUGUAUCUCCCAAUCUAAUCUAUAUACUGUAUCUCCUGGUUCCUGAGGGUUUUCAACAAAGUAUUAAUCUGGCCCAAACCUGCUUAACUUCUGAGCCCAGAGAUGUUUGGCAGGUAGAAAAGUACGCCAGCAUAAAAUUUGCCUGAGAUGUAUCCAGCAUCAACAGCAGCUGCAGCAGUUUCUGCCUUAAAAUUUGAAUGUGGACCAGUUUACUUGGAAGUUCAUCCAGUGGUGGGUUGCCCCCGGUUCGCACCGGUUCUGUAGUAAAACCGGCAGGAGGCUCCGCCCACCAACCCCGAUGUCAUCAAAACGCUUGUGCAGAAGAUCACGCGUGCGCGCUCGCUUCGCUCAUGCACGUACGUGGCCCCGCUGUGAACCAGUAGUAAAACUAGACCACAUCUACUGGGAAGCAGACAUUCUCGUGCUGAAACAUCUCACAACUGAAGGAACUGCCAUCUUUUCCCUGAGUAAGUGUUCCCUGGUUAACUCUGCUGCCUGCAUCUCAGUUCCAGAGGAGGCAGAAGAGGUUUUCUUGUAUUGAGAGU